CAUUUAUCCCCUUUCUCCCUCUCUCUCUUCGCGUGCCCUAACAUAGCCCCUCUCCUCUUGCUCUCUCUCUCAAACCGCGAUGCGCCCCCGCUUCAUCUCCAAUAAUCGAUCGAUUAUAAUCAGUAGCAUAUUCUAUCUACCAAGUGGAGAUUAUGAAAAAUCUGACCAAGUUACAAAUAUAUAAAGACAGUGAUAUGAGGACAAACAUGACUCUGGUUUAUUGGAGACUCUAAAGAUGGAGAGAGUUGUGUAAUUAAUUAUCAUUGUAUUUCUACACUCAUGUAUAAUUAUCUUGUAUUUAAAUUAUAUAGGCAGACACAUCAUAUAUAUAUAUAUAUAGUAUAUGACUAUAUUGUAGAUUGAUAAUAGAAAUUAAUUAUCAUUGCUUAUUAUUUUAUUAA